AUAUUGGAGGGCAAGUCUGGUGCCAGCAGCCGCGGUAAUUCCAGCUCCAGUAGCGUAUAUUAAAGUUGUUGCGGCUAAAAAGCACGUAGUUGGAUCUCGGUUCAAGCGUAGCGGUCCACUUGCCAGUGGCUACUGUUGCGCUGAACAACACUAGUUUGUCGACUCUGCCGACGAUGCCCUUAACCGGUGUGUCGUUGUGCGAUCGGCUCGUUUACUUUGAAAAAAUUAGAGUGCUCAAAGCAGGCCGUUACGGCCCGAAUAUCCUUGCAUGGAAUAAUGGAAUAUGUAGGUGAACGUUGUUCUGUUGGUCUCGCCGUACUACCUAAAUGAUCACAGGGACAGACGGGGGCGUCCGUAUUGCUACGCUAGAGGUGAAAUUCUUGGACCGUAGCAAGACGAACUAAAGCGAAAGCAUUCGCCAAGAAUGUUUUCAUUAAUCAAGUACGAAAGUUAGAGGUUCGAAGGCGAUCAGAUACCGCCCUAGUUCUAACCAUAAACGAUGCCAA
rnacentral:rRNA from 1 species